GCAUGUAUAUGUGUGUGUGUGUGUAUGUAUAUAUAUCUGUGUAGUGUGCAUGUGUGUGUGGUGCAUUUACAUGUGUGUAGUGGGUUUUGCAAUGAGGAGGAGGCAGAAAGGAGUGUGGACCCAUUAUCUGUUGUUAUGCAUUAGUUGUCCCUCUCAGGAUCCUUGACACACAGGGACCCUCUCCUGGAUGUUGGUGACCCAGUCAGGUACUUUCUGUUUGCUCCUCCAGAUUCCCUCUCCAGCCUUCUCAGCUCUACUCCCUUUCCUGGGGCUGACUUGAUGGAUCACAGCAAUGGUUUCUUGCACUCUUGAUUUCUAUCAAGUAUAGCCAAGGAGGAGUGCAGGUGGUCAACUGGAGGAAAAGGGGCAUGUAGGGUCAGGGCAUUUAUUCCCCUGGCCUCUUUCCUGCAGACUUGCCUUGGGCUGGUGGCCUUCCUUGACCAUAGCCCCUCUCAAGGAAACCCUCUCUGCAAGCUUAUUUCUUUUGGGUUCUAGUCACUGCCCUUUCCUUUAUUCCUCUGGAUUAAUGUAUUUUCCCUUUCCUCCCAUGCCCUGCCUACAUUUCUGUAAACAGUCUUUCAUUAAAGCCUCCUCAAGUAGUCCUAAUUUGAGUGUGCUAUGUGUUUUCUGUUGGAAUCCGACUGAUACAAAAUUCUCUUGGUCACUGCCAUUGGCUAGUUAGAUUGUAACCCAUAUGAUGGUCUCCAUUUGUCUCUGUCCUUCAAUAUCUGUGUCUGGCCCCUACCUCUGUGGAGGAAAAGGUCGGGCAAUAAGCUUUACUAUUUCUUCAGCUGAGCUCUUUGGUACAGGCUGCUGCUUCUCUGACCAGUGGAGCUGCCAUUCUGCUGGGAAGGAGGGCACCCUCUCUCUCCUGCCUGUUGCAAGUAUUUCCUCACCUAUUUUUCCUAAAGGGUACAUCCACUGGAUCAGUAAGAUGGUUUAAGAAGAUUUUUACUCAGGAAUCAGGUACUACUACCCUGGUUAAUUGUCUACCUCCCUCAUUUCCACGCUUAGAGCAAAGCCUUGCUGCCAAGCUCUCUGGAAUCUUCCACACCGAUGCUGCGGGGCCUUCGGUGGAUUUCCAGCCUUGACCACAAUGUUACUCCUUUCCUCACUAUUUUCUUUUAAUCCUUUCUUCCCCUGAUGUACUGCUUCCACUUAUUUUUCUCCCCAGACAUUACCUCUUCCUAAAGAAAGAGCAAAGUCCAUGUUCAUUUAGCACUUUUUUUUUUUUUUUUUUUGGGUAGGUUUCAGUCUUGGUAUUGUAGGGGAGGAAAAGCUUUUUUCUGUACCCUCUUAUGUCCUGUACCUGGGGAUGGGCAAAUUAAACUGACAGAGGACAGAUUAGCAAGAGAAAAGAAAGAGCUUAUUUAUACGCACAAAAUGUGUACACAUGGACACCCAGUGAUGAGUACUCAGUGAUGUGUAACUCAAAGGGAUGGUUAGAAUUUGGAGCUUAUAUACCUAAUUUAGGAGAAAGGGUAGGGAGAGCAAAGGCUUCUAUGGGAAGGACAAAUGGGUUUCUUUAGGAAAGACAAAUGGGUUUUUAGGAGAACAAAUAGGAGGUAAAGUUUAAGAUAAUGUUUGUUUAUGCAGGUGUGAGUGGUCUUUCUGUCUUCUUUACGGCCAUACAACUCCCCCGGAGAGGAGAUUCAUGGGAGAUUUAUUCUUGGUUUCUCUCCUGGGAAUAGACUUGCCCCAAAGAGGGAAUUUAUGGCAGUUCUCAUUUCUCAGAAGUAUCUCUGUUGAGUCAGAUAAGGGGAGUUCUGGGAAGUCUUCUUUCUAUAUCUGUUGAAUCUCAAAUAUUUUCAGCUUAAAAUAAUCUUGAUGCCAAGUCUGGGAUUCUGAGUGGGUUCACACAGUGUACAUUGCAGGUUAGUAACUUUUCCCUUUGGCCUGCUUUCUACUGGCUCUGUAUGGGAAGGAUGGACCCUGGCCUCAGUAGCUACUGGUUCCACAGGCAGAUGGGGAAGAAGGGGUGAAUUCUGGGCCCAUGAAUGGAAGUAAUGUGGUUGUGGUGGAGGUGCUGGGAGAAGAAGGUCCAUUUUGAGUAAUGGCUUGUUUUUCCCUGCUAAUGUCUUCUAAGUUAAACACGUCUCCCUACAAUAGGGAUUAACUUCCUUCCACAACCUUCACUUGGGAAAUUAUAUUCUCCUUAGCAACUUAAUUUCAUCUUUAUUUCUUGCGAAAAUUUUCCUCCUCCUGUUUUGCAUUACAUGGCAAAGCUCCUUUAUAUUUCAUGAUAAUUAAGGGUGUUGUUCCUGAAUCCCUUCUUCCGAAUUCUAGAGUGGAGAAAUACAUUUUACUCCACUAUAAGGGCCAGAGGGCAGAGGGCCUGUGAAGUGAGAACACUUUUGUAAUGGUCAAUUUUAUGUGUCAACUUGACUAGGCUCAGUUGUGUAGUCAAACACCAGUCUAGAUAUUGCUAUGAGGGAAGUUUUCAGAUGUGAAUAACAUUUAAAUCAGCAGACUUUGAAUAAAGCAGAUUAUCUUCCACAAUGUGGGUGGGUGUCAUCUCAUCAGCUGACAGACAGGCCUUAAGAGCAAAGACUGAAGCUUCUGGAAGAGGAAGCAAUUUGGUCUCAAGAUUGCAACAAAGAAACCCUUCCUGAGGUUCCAAACUGCUGCUGCCUGGAGGAAUUCAGGCUCAGGCUGCAACAUCAGCUUUUAUCUAUGUCUUCAGGCUGCUAACCAGCUCUACAACUUUGGACUUUACAGCCACCAGAAUUGUGUGAGUUAAUUCCUUAAAAUAAAUCUCUCUCUCUCUCUAUCUAUAUCCCAUUGGUCUGUUUCUCUGGAGAACACUGACUAAUAUCCUCUUACUGUCCAUUGCCUUUCUCAAAAGUGUUCACAGGGUGUGUGUUUCUGCCAAGUCACCUGUCCUAGGAACAGAGAGCUUCAGUUAAGUCUCAAGAGCCCGGGAGAAGACAAGGGGAUAAAGUGAGCAGGGGCUUGCACAGCUCUGCACACCCAGCAGACACUGACAACUGCUACCCAGCUCCAGCUACUUAGAACAAGGGAAUAGAAGCUUUUGAUUUGUGCUUUCUUAUGUUAUCACAGACCAAAGGAACUCAAUGUAAUUUUUUUAAAAAAACAUCUGAUUUAGCAAAUCCCAAGCAAUAGUCACCAGCUAGCCUUCCUCAGUUGGGAUAAGGCCUUACUAGGUUCUGGUCAGAGAAAAAAUGAGACCCAGAGGAGAGAGAAGGUUUACAGUAUGGCAGUUUGCCCACAUCUGCAGCCUGGAAGGAGUUAGGAAAAUUCAGCAGGCUGGGAAGACUUGGAGACUAUCGAUUUUUACAGAGAGUUAGCAAAAUGCUGUGCAUACUUUAUUAUUCAUGAUGACUUUUUCACAAGUUCAUGCCUCAUUCUGGUGUAUCCUCUUCUGUCCUGCUUUCUUCUGCACUCAUUGUGGAAAUCAGUGGGGGUAUGGUUCCAAAGGAAUGAAAGAGAGGAUCAAAUUAGCUUGAGACACAGCUCUUUGGUUGACUGAGGCUAAGCCAGAACUAAAAAGAGGAUGCUUUCCUUGGUCUAAUCCUAACAAAUCUAUGAUAACAUUUUAUUACCAAUGGAGGGUGUCCAGGUUCCUGGCGUCUUGAACGAAGAAUUGGGCAAAACACACAAAGUAAGGAAAGAAUGAAGCAACAAAAGCAGAGAUUUAUUGAAAAUGAAAGUAUGCUCCUCAGGGCGGGAGUGGGCCUGAGCAUAGGGACUCAAGAGCCCUGUUACAGACUUUUUGGGGGUUUAAAUACCCUCUAUAGGUUUCCACUGGUUACUUGGUGUAUGCCCUAUGUAAAUGAAGAGGAUAUUUCCUGUCAUAGCUGAAGUAUUUCCAUUUGAUUUAGUUCUAGGAAAUCCUUAGGUUUCCUGCCUUCCAGACCCUAUCCUAUCCUACCUCGAUUUGAUUUGGAUUUGUUCCUCUUUAGGAAUUCACCCAUGUACAUUGAGCAACUAGAACACUGUCAGGCACAUGGCAAAUGCUCAAUAAACAUUUGCUGAAGUAAUGUCCGAAGUCUGGUGAGGAGUGUAGGAGGAGGCACGGGGAAGAUGUGCAGCUUGCUCCCUGUGUGUACCUUGGCCGAGUCUCUGAACUUGCUCAGUCCUCGUUUUCGUUUUCUGUGGGUGUGAUGAGAAUGACUAGUAUCUAAAUGCUAGUCAUGAAAGAUGAGAAUGAUGAUGAGAAUGAUAGCAUCUAAACUAUAGAACUCAAUCCAUGGUAAUUCUACUUUCUUUCCCUUUUCUUGGGAAGAGGGUAGAACACUAAUAUCAUAAUUGACUUCAAACAAGCUGUUACCCUAUCUAUACCAUAAAAUGUAAGCAUCAGUAAAUGUUAAAUGAAAUGUGUGAAGGAAAAAAUGAGUAGGUGAGAAGGGGCCUUAUAAAUCUUGUAAUGCAAGAGUUUGAAAAUAUUUUUCUUUUAAAGCAGGAGAAGUCCCUUAUUAAACAAAAGCUCACAUGGAAGCCCAGGAUAUAAAACUACCAAAACCACAUCUGUUGUGACUGAAGUGGGUGGUGGGGGGGCAUGACCUUGGGGCAUUUACAGUUCUGUUGUCUCUUUUUAGGGCUUCACUCUCCCCGCCCAACUGCCCCCGCACCCAUCACACCCUCUCUGGCCUUGGGCUGUGGUUUGCUAGUAAAUGUUUAACAACUGACUCUGGGGUUGGGAGUCCUGAUUUGUAGCAUUUUCACAUUUCCGUGGUGUGAAUAUUUCCACUGCUUUAAGCUACUAUGUGGCAAGACUGAAGGUAGAGUUGGGACUCUGCUCAGAAUUAUAUGCACCAUUAUAUAGUUAUUUCACCAAACCUACAAUUGCUGUAAACAACCUCAAGGAUAUUAAGAAUUUGAUGUAGUAAAUUAAUUGAGUGGUAAAUUCUGAAUAUUUAUUACCUUUGUUUUUAAUAUAAUUUAUCUAAUUAUAAGUUUAUAUGCCUGUAAUUUAAUUUUUUAUAAUGACUUCAAUUAAGAACAAGAGAGCAAAAUUUUCAAAAAUUGAGCAACUGGCUUUUAGGAGCUAGUAUCAGCUGGGUCCAGCAUACCACUGCCUCUGGGACAUCUGUUUUGAAACCUCGGGUUCCAAAGAAUAUGCUUUAAAUGAUUGAUGUAUAACUCCUAACAUUAGAGGGCAGGAAAAAUGAGAGGUUAUGACUUUAUGAGGGUCGUAGAACUAGUAGUUACUUUACUCUAGAGCUAGACAUUAUUCCUUUUCCUGUGGUAGAGAACCUACUCUUCUUGCCUUCUGAGAUGUGCAAUUAAACUACAUUUCACAACUCCUCUUGCAUCUAGGUGAACUUCUUGGCUGAACUCUGGCAAAUGGGUUUUGACUACAAAUGAUGUGCACCACUUCUAGACUUGUCUAGUUACAAAACAUCUUGUGUGAUCCUCUGUGCUCUUUCCUGAUCCCCAGCCAUGUAGAAGAAGCCAAGUGAAGGGCUGUGGGGACCUAGAAGACGGAGUUGUCACACAAUGGAAGAAUCCCAGAUCUCUGAGUCACCAUUUGGACAAGAAUUUACCAGGACAGGUGCCUGAACAGGAACCCUGGACUUUGUGUGAGUGAGAAACAAACUUUUAUUGUGUUAAGCCACUGAGAUUUUGGGUUGGUUUUUAGAGCAGCUGGUGUUGCUUACACUGACUAAUACAUCUUGAAAGUAAAUGAUGCAAAACAAUUCUACUUAUUCACAGGGAGUGGUAUUUAUAAGGGAAAAGAAUAAUAGGGUGGCAUCAAUGUGGAGUCCUGAUAAGUAAGCAACAACAAGGAAGGAGCCCCACGUAGGGAAGAACAAUUGUUCUGAGAGACUGUUAAUCACAAACAACCUGCUAGCCCCACAUCCUGUUCCCAAAUACUUUGCUCAGUAUGUAGCCCCAGCAGCAUGACUGUCUGCAUGUAGACCCUCCAGCAUGACCCUAUAAAAUUUCCCUCCAGCUACGGCCUCUUGGCAGACAGUCCCUUCUCUGCUGUGCUGCCCACUGCUUUCUUACAACGUUAUCUUUGUACUUUCUCAAAUAAAUCUGCCUUUCUUUACCCACAA